rnacentral:tRNA from 1 species
GGGGGGAGUUCGACCCCAUCAAUAAGUUUACAGCUUACCGCCUUAGACUCGGCCACCUUACC